rnacentral:lncRNA from 1 species
AUGAGAUUCUAUGUUUAUGUAUAUGUUAUUUUUGAAAUCAUUAGACAGUACCCUUCCCUCCAGAUACAGAGAAACAGAUAAUAUGAGAUGAGAAAAGAGAUACAGACAAGAGAUACAGAUAAGAUGAGAUAGAGGCCUUUGGGGCCCGUCGGGACACACAUAGAGGCUUUGGGCCGUGUGUUCGGGCGCUUUUGCCUUUUGGGGGCUUAUGCAUGCACAGUACAGAUAUAUGAGAUAAGAGAUAUGAGAUAUGAGAUAUGAGAUGAGAUCGUCCCCAUCUAUCCGUUGUAGCUCCGGGGCGUGACGUUACCCAGAUAGUACGUCAUUGCCCGUCCGUCGAGAUCCGGAUAUGAUCAGAUUAUUCCCUGGGUACUUGUUUGAUGACAGUUUUUAGUAUUCAGUAUUUGAUAUGAUGAGUAUUAUAUGAUUCCAUCGAUUUUAUGCGAAUAUAUGUAUUAUAGUGUUUCAAUGAACUGAUUUGCAUUAAAUGAGUUUGAGCAAGUUCUUAUGAUAUUUUGAGAAAUUGAAAUUGAUUUGAGAAACAAUUUGAGAAAUUGAUUUGAGAAAGAUUAAAUCAUUUUAAAUAAAUUUAUUAAAUUGUCAGUAACUACUAUCCACUCACUGAGCUCACUGAGUUUUAUACUCACCCCUCUUUUAUUAUUUUAUAUUUUUCCCCCCACAGGAGAGUUACAGGUACAUCAGUCAACCCAGUAGCGAACGUUAGUGUGAUAUUGUGGCCACGUGAUGGUGCUAGGAGUCGUGGAUUUUCACUGUGAGUGGAAUAUACAAACCUAUUUUCAUAGUAUAUGCUGAUUUUAUGAUAAGUAUUUAAUGCUUCGAUUAAAUGAUUUUCCGGUAAAUUAAUUUUUAUCUAUGUGUCGGUCUUUAUUGUUAUUGAGAAUGAGUUUGAUUAAUGAUUUUAUUAGCGUUUUUGAGUAAAGGCAUGAUAUUAGAAUUGAGCAGAUUUUGAGAUAUGUUGAAUAGAAAGAAAAUGAGAUUUCGGAUGAGAUUCUAUGUUUAUGUAUAUGUUAUUUUUGAAAUCAUUAGACAGUACCCUUCCCUCCAGAUACAGAGAAACAGAUAAUAUGAGAUGAGAAAAGAGAUACAGACAAGAGAUACAGAUAAGAUGAGAUAGAGGCCUUUGGGGCCCGUCGGGACACACAUAGAGGCUUUGGGCCGUGUGUUCGGGCGCUUUUGCCUUUUGGGGGCUUAUGCAUGCACAGUACAGAUAUAUGAGAUAUGAGAUGAGAUCGUCCCCAUCUAUCCGUUGUAGCUCCGGGGCGUGACGCUACCCAGAUAGUACGUCAUUGCCCGUCCGUCGAGGUCCGGAUAUGAUCAGAUUAUCCCUUGGGUACUUGUUUGAUGACAGUUUUUAGUCUUCAGUAUUUGAUAUGAUGAGUAUUAUAUGAUUCCAUCGAUUUUAUGCGAAUAUAUGUAUUAUAGUGUUUCAAUGAACUGAUUUGCAUUAAAUGAGUUUGAGCAAGUUCUUAUGAUAUUUUGAGAAAUUGAAAUUGAUUUGAGAAACGAUUUGAGAAAUUGAUUUGAGAAAGAUUAAAUCAUUUUAAAUAAAUUUAUUAAAUUGUCAGUAACUACUAUCCACUCACUGAGCUCACUGAGUUUUAUACUCAC